AUGCAGCCACUCAGUCACUCACACAGGAACGGUUUUCCCGUUCCUUUCUUCGGUUUGGCUCUUGUGCUACUGGUUUGCUUGGAUUCUCCCACCAGUUCCUGCACAGACCAGGAGAAGAGCUCCCUACUCCAGCUCCUCACUGGGCUCUCGAGCGAUGGUGGCCUCACAGCAUCGUGGCGAAUCGACACGGACUGUUGCACGUGGGAAGGGAUCACCUGCAACCAAGAUAGGAUAGUCACUGAUGUUUCGCUGGCAUCUCGAGGCCUUAAGGGGUCCAUCUCGCCGUUCCUUGGCAACCUCACUGGCCUUUUGCGCCUCAACCUGUCCCAGAACUCGCUGUCUGGUGGGUUGCCACUGGAAUUAGUGUCAUCCAGCAGCAUCCUUGUUCUUGAUGUCAGCUUCAACUGCCUGACAGGAGGCCUGAGUGAGUUGCCAUCUUCAACCCCUGCACGGCCUCUGCAGGUACUGAACAUCUCAAGUAACUUUUUUACAGGAAGGUUUCCAUCCACAACAUGGGAGGUGAUGAAGAGCCUGGUCGUGCUUAAUGCUAGCACCAACAGUUUCACUGGGCAGAUACCCACUACGCCCUGUGUUAGCGCACCAUCUUUUGCUGUGCUUGAACUCAGUUUCAACCAACUCAGUGGAAACAUCCCUCCAGGACUCGGUAAUUGCUUGGCGUUGAAAUUGCUCAGUGCUGGCUACAACAACCUCAAUGGGACGCUUCCAGAUGAACUCUUUAAGGUCAGGUCGUUACAGUACAUCUCGUUACCUAACAAUCGGUUAGAAGGAGCGCUGAAUGGCAUCAUCAACCUCACAAAUCUUGUCACCCUUGAUCUUGGGAAGAAUGAGCUCAGUGGAAAUAUUCCAGAUUCCAUAGGUGAGCUGAAGAGAUUGGAAGAGAUCCAUUUGGGCCACAACAACAUGUCAGGGGAGCUGCCAUCAGCUCUGAGCAACUGCACAAAUCUCAUAACGGUUGACCUCAAGGCAAACCAAUUCAGCGGAGAACUUACCAAAGUCAACUUUGUAAGCCUGUCCAAGCUAAGAAAAUUAGAUCUUGUUUUCAACGACUUCACUGGCACAAUUCCAGAAAGCAUAUACUCCUGCAGCAAGCUGACUGCAUUAAGGCUAUCUUAUAAUCAUUUCCAUGGCCAAUUGUCAGAAAAGAUAGGCAAUCUGAAGUCUCUCCGCUUUCUAUCACUUGUUAACCUCUCCCUUACAAAUAUCAAGAGAACACUUCAGAUCCUUGAGAGUUCCAGGAGCCUCAACACCCUUUUUAUUGGGUUCAACUUCCUGCAUGAGACCAUGCCAGAGGAUGACAGCAUUGAUGGUUUUGAGAAUCUUCAAGUUCUUUCUAUGAGUUAUUGUUCAAUGUCUGGAACAAUACCUGAUUGGUUAUCAAAGCUAACAAACUUGGGGAUGUUAUUUUUGCAAGGCAAUCAACUAACUGGACCAAUACCUGACUGGAUUAGCACCCUAAACUUUCUCUUCCAUCUAGACAUAUCAAACAACAGUUUUACAGGGGAAAUUUCAACUGCCUUAGCGGAGAUGCCAAUGCUAAAAUCAGAUAAGAUUGCAGCAAAGGCCUUCUUUGAGCUGCCUGUUUAUGUUUUCAGUCCAUUUAUCCAAUACAUCAACGCUGGUGCAUGUCCGAAAGUGCUUAAUCUAGCCGUCAAUAAAUUCACUGGUGUGAUCCCGGGGGAGAUGGGCCAAUUAAGAGCACUCGUUUCACUUAAUUUGAGCUACAACAAAUUAUCAGGAGAAAUCCCACAACCGAUCUGCAACCUCACGAACCUGCAGAUGCUCGACUUGUCCAGCAAUCAUCUUACUGGUACAAUUCUGGCCGCACUAAACAAUCUACACUUUCUUUCCAAAUUCAACAUUUCUGAUAAUGACCUCGAAGGCCCUAUUCCAACUGUGGGCCAGCUUAGCACGUUUCCAGAUUCUAGCUUUGAUGGAAACCCAAAAUUGUGUGGUCCUAUGAUUGUCAACCAUUGCGGUUCAGCAGAAGCAGGUCCAGAGUCCAUCAUCUCUAGAGAACAGAUUGGCAGUAAGGUCAUCUUUGCGAUCUCCUUUGGUGCUUUCUUUGGAGUGGGAGUUCUAUAUGAUCAGAUGGUCUUAGCGAGAUAUUUCGGCUAA
rnacentral:rRNA from 1 species